CGGUAAUACGUAGAAUGCAAGCGUUAAUCGGAAUUACUGGGCGUAAAGCGUGCGCAGGCGGUUUGGUAAGUCUGAUGUGAAAUCCCCGGGCUCAACCUGGGAAUUGCAUUGGAGACUGCAAGGCUAGAAUCUGGCAGAGGGGGGUAGAAUUCCACGUGUAGCAGUGAAAUGCGUAGAGAUGUGGAGGAACACCGAUGGCGAAGGCAGCCCCCUGGGUCAAGAUUGACGCUCAUGCCAUUUGCGUGGGGAGCAAACAGGAUUAGAUACCCUGGUAGUCCACGCCCUAAACGAUGUCUACUAGUUGUCGGGUUUUAAUGUUCUUUGUAACGCAGCUAACGCGUGAAGUAGACCGCCUGGGGAGUACGGUCGCAAGAUUAAA
rnacentral:rRNA from 1 species